AUUUAAUUGAUAGUUGACUUCAGUGUAUACUUUGGUGAUCCCCGACACCAGUCGAUUAUGGUGACCUUGGGGUCAAUUUUAAGGUUACAGUGAGAUAUUAAAGAUAUUGUCAUUGGUACCCUUGUUAGCAUGAUGUCUCAAGAACCACUUGACCAGUUUCAUUCAUUUUUA